GGAGUGAUGGCUCAGUGGCUAAGAGCACCCGACUGCUCUUCCGAAGGUCCAGAGUUCAAAUCCCAGCAACCACA
rnacentral:tRNA from 1 species